CUCCCCCCCCUUCCCGAGCGGCGUUGCUUGUGCGACCGAAGGGGAGGGAAGAUGGCGGCCGGCGGCAGUGGCGGCGGCGGCAAGGCCUCCUCCUCGUCGUCGUCGUCGUCCUCCUCUUCUUCGUCGUCGUCGUCCUCCGCCGCUGCCGCGGGCGGCGGGGGCGGGCCGGCCUCGUCGUCGUCGUCGUCCGGCCCUCUGGAGGCGUCCCUGGACAGGAAGCUGCAGGGGGUGACCAACACCAUGGAGUCCAUCCAGGGCCUGUCGUCGUGGUGCCUGGAGAACAAGCGGCACCACAGCACCAUCGUCCACCACUGGAUCAAGUGGAUGCGCAGAUCUGCCUUUCCGCAUCGGCUGAACCUUUUCUACCUGGCCAAUGAUGUCAUCCAGAACUGCAAAAGGAAAAACGCGAUUGUGUUCCGUGACACGUUUGCUGAAGUGCUCCCGGAGGCUGCCGCUUUGGUGAAAGAUCCAUCAGUCUCCAAAUCUAUAGAAAGAAUCUUUAAAAUCUGGGAAGAUAGAAAUGUGUAUCCAGAAGAAACCAUCAUGUUACUGAAAGAAGCUUUAAAGACUCCUAAAGGGCAUCCCAUAAUCUCAGACUGCAAAACAAAAAACAAAACCAAACAAAAAUGUUUUCCAGGUUCCACUUUCAAAGCUCAGAAGCAGCAGAAAGAAACUCAGAGCAAACAGCCAACUAAGUCAUGGAAGAAACCUCAAACCUCUACAAAUCCAAAAGCCGCACUGAAGUCCAAGAUUGUUGCAGAAUUUCGGCCGCAGUCCCUGGUUGAUGAGCUGCUCUGCUACAAGCGUUCUGAGGACCAGAUAGAGCUGAAGGAAAAGCAACUCUCCACCAUGCGAGUCGACGUCUGCAGCACCGAGACCCUGAAGUGCUUGAAAGACAAAACAGGGGGAAAGAAAUUCUCCAAGGAGUUUGAGGAGGCGAGUGCCAAGCUGGAAGAGUUUGUCAACAGCCUGGACAAGCAGGUGAAAAGCGGCCCAUCCUUGACAGAGGUGCUUGAGAACGCGGGGAUCUUCUAUGAAGCGCAAUACAAGGAAGUCAAGGUGGUGGCAAAUGCUUACAAGACCUUUGCUAACAGAGUGAACAACCUCAAGAAGAAACUGGACCAGCUGAAGGCGACGCUUCCUGACCCUGAAGAAUCGCCCGUCCCCUCCCCGAGCAUGGACGCCCCUUCCCCGACUGGCUCGGAGUCUCCCUUCCCUGGGAUGGGGGAGGACGACAACUCCCCUUCCCCAGGGGCAGAAAGGGAGAAGUCUCCGACUCCAGAGCCCGCAACGGACAAUCGUGACGUGGAGGACAUGGAGCUCUCUGAUGUGGAGGAGGAGGAGGAGGCCCCAAAGAUCAUCGUGGACGAACGGAAAGAGAAGCCGGCUGUUUCCACAAUGCCCCCUGCGAAGAUGGCUGAAAGCGUCCCAAAAAUGUCUCCUUCCACGACAGCUGCAGCAGCAGCAGCAGCAGCAGUGCCACCACUGCAAGCAGCAGCAGCAGCGCUACCUGCUCCGGUUGUGGCAACACUGGCUCCAAGCCCCAUCACCCCUACAACCCCUAAGCCGGCCACCCCAGCAGCACCCCUUCCCCAGUCCCCUGCCCUCGCCUUGCCGAACCUCGCCAAUGUGGAUUUGGCCAAGAUCAGCUCCAUUCUCAGCAGCCUCACCUCGGUGAUGAAGAACACAGGCGUCAGUCCUGCCUCAAGACCUUCGCCUGGCACCCCAACCAGCCCAACGACACUUAUGAGCGGCCUGAAGACCGCAGGGAUGGGCCCCCUGACUGCCCCUCCAAACCCUUUGGCCAAUAUCUUCUCCAAAGUCGAGAUCACCCCCGAAAGUAUCCUCUCGGUGCUCUCCAAGAGCCAGAGCCAGGCUGCACCAGGCCUGCAAGGUCUCUCCUCGUUCCUCCAGAGUGUGGCUGGGAACACAGCCCAGCCCACCGAGAUGGCAUCCCAGAGUACGUCGGCAUCGCCGGCCAACACGACGGCUUCUUCUGUAAAAGGAAGGAACAUUUCCUCUAAUGCUCAGCCCUUCAUGCCCCAGAGUUUUGGCUAUUCUCCAAAUUCUUCCUCCUCGGCUGAGGUCUCUUCCACCUCGGUCAACAAGGUUCCUUCUGGGCACAGUGUGGGGCUCCCCAGUUCCAGUUUCAAGCCUCCCACCAAUUCCUUGGGGUUCUCCGGCUCCCACAAUGUCAGCCCUUCCCUUCGGCCGGCUGAGAACCCCACGAGCCAAUCCUCCGAGCUGGCGGAGGCCAAGCUCGAGUUGGAACCCCCUUCCCCGAGUCUGGAAAUGAAGAUACACAACUUCCUGAAGGGGAACCCAGGCUUCAGCGGCUUGAACCUCAACAUCCCCAUUCUGAGCAGCCUGGGGUCUGCCGCCGCGCCCCCCGAGAGCCAGUCGUCGUCCUCUGAUUUCAACCGCGGACCCACAAGCACCUCUAUGGACAGCAUUGAUGGGACUCCUGUCCGGGAUGAGAGGAGCGGGACUCCGACUCAAGAUGAGAUGAUGGACAAGCCGUCAUCCAGCAACGUGGACACCAUGUCGCUGCUCUCAAAGAUCAUCAGCCCCGGAUCCUCUACUCCGAGUAGCACAAGGUCACCCCUUCAGAGCCGGGAUGACAGCUACACCCAAGAAUUGUCCAACUCGGUGUACAGGUCCUUCAGCUUGAGCCGAGAUUCUCCAGCCAGCAUGUACAAGCAGUCUUCUGAUGGGAUAGAGUUGCCUUCCUCUUUAAUGGACUCCCCGCAAGAGAAGUUCUACCCAGACACCUCAUUCCAGGAGGAUGAAGACUACCGUGACUUUGAUUACUCCGGCCCACCGCCUUCUGCUUUGGUGAACCUGGAGAAGCAGCCAGGAAAGUCAAUCCUGAAGUCCACUAAGCUUUCUGACCCCUCCGAGUACCCGCCUGUUCUGUCGAGUUACGGUCAACGUGCCUCUGGGUUUGGCCUGAAAUCUGCUUUCCCCCAGUCAAUGAGAGCUCUCCACGACCAGAGCGAAAGCUGCGACCCAUUGUCUUCGCCUGGAAUAUACGGGGGCUACGGUUUGCGGGGAAACGACUCCGGCUCGGAUGCUUCGCCUACGCCGAGCAAGAACGAUGUCUUCUUCCCACCGGAUUCCAAUCACAACAGCUUGUCCAAACCCAUGCCUCAGAAGCAGUAUCCAGAUUCCCCACACUUGGUCCCCCAAAGGUCGCUUUUCUCACCACAGAACGCUCUCCUGGCCCCGGCCAGUAGACUCCCCACGAGCAACGCAGACAAGCCCGUCGUGUCUUCCAUCUCUGCCACUUCGACCAUUGAGUUCAAGAACAUGCUGAAGAACGCCUCCCGCAAGCCCUCGGACGAGAGCAAGCAUUUCGGCCAGGUUGCGAAAGGGGGUCCCAGCGACAGCACGGGCCUCUCGGGCCUCGGCCAGGUGGGGGUUCCUCCCGGGGGGGAGCAGCAGAAGCAGCAAGAGGAACAUUACCGGAUCGAGACCAGGGUGUCGUCAUCCUGCCUAGAUUUGCCCGACAGCACCGAAGAGAAGGGAGCCCCCAUCGAAACGCUGGGCUACCACAAUGCCUCCAGCAGAGGCAUGUCAGGCGAGCCCAUUCAGACAGUAGAGUCCAUAAGAGUCCUUGGGAAAGGGAGCCGAGGCCACGGGCGAGAGACCCCCAGAGCGGGGUGGUUUGAGUUGAGCAGCGCAGGUAGUACCUUCGAUAACGGUCCUUCGGGUACGACAGAGAUGGCUCCCAUGGGUGGCGGCGGUGGUGGCGGCGGCAGCGGCGUGUCCAGCUUCCCGACCCAGUACAAAGACCGUGGGCCGCCGUUCCAGGAGAACGUCAACAACUUCCGACCCGGAGGCUUUGCCGCUGCCGCCUUCGACCGCCACGUGCCGCCCCCUCCCCUUGAGCACGGGGCGUCUUUCCCCAUGGACCAAAUUGGGCCGCCUCCCCCCACAGGGCCUCAGUCCCUGCCUCCGAAGGAUCUCGGCAGCCUUUUCUCCCGGGACCACUCAGUCCCCCCGCCCCGGAUGCCGUCGGUGGAUCACGCCGGCCCUUUCUCAAAGGAAGCCGCCUCCCCGCUCAGCCUGCCCCACGGCGUCCCCCCGCCUCCCUCCUUGGAACGCAGCGGGGUGCCCUUCCCCACCCAGCCGCCCCCUCCUCUCCCCGGGGAGCACGGCAGCGUCCCGUUCUCCAGCCCACCGCCCCCUCCCGGGGACCUCGGACUCCCGUUCCCGGCUCCCCCUCUAGCCGCCGAGCGCCAGAGCCCCUUGGCCGCGCACCAGGGGACAAUGAAGGAGCAUUUUAGCAUGCCGUCGGGAGCUUCUCGGGACCAGCUGGGCCAGGGGCAGCGCGACCAUGGCGGCCGGGCGAGAGAGAACAUGGGCCUGGGCACCCUCCCAAGAGAUCCUCUGGGCGCGGCCCUUAACAUCAGCUCCUCUGUCCCCCCUCACCGGGACGCCACAAACCGAGGCGGGCUGGGGAUGAGAAACCAGAGGCCGGAUUUCCGACCCAGGGAAUUGUUCUUAAACAGAGACCCCUUUAACAGCUUAAAAAGGCCUCGGCCCCCCUUCGCCAGGGGCCCCCCCUUCUUCGCACCAAAACGUCCCUUCUUCCCUCCCAGGUACUGAAUGAAGGUGUUCCAGAACUUUUCUAGAGAGCGGCGGAAGUGACAUGUUCACUUUCGUUUUAUGUUUAAAAUCUUUUCUUUAAAAACAAGAACAACAAACCAGUCUGCCCCUUAAAGGGCCCCACAACUUUUUUCGUUGUCAAUUAAGUGUGCAAUAGGUGCAUAAGGUUGAGAACGGGACCCCCACCCAUCCAUCCCUUCCUUGCUUUGCAACCUGGAAUCGGAGCCGGAAGUGGUUUCUUCGGCACCAACCCAGCCUGGAGGGGGAAGAGCAGAGCAGGUAGAAGCGCCGCCUCCCGAUUUCCGAAAGACCCACAGCGCUCCCCCUUGGAGGAAGUCUUGACUGUUGCUCUUUUAAUUUAUGCAUCUUGUCUCUGUGUUGGAAGGAGGUCUGGAAACCAAUUCCAAAGCUUAAAACACAAUCGGAGCAGUGCGGUUUGUUUUGUUUUGCUUUUUGAGGUUCUCUCUCUCUCUUCCCCCUCCCCUGCCCUCUCUCCCUCCUUCCUUAUUUUUGUAUUGUAUACUAAUAAAGUGUUCUUGACUUGU